rnacentral:rRNA from 1 species
GGCAAAGUUAAUAAGGGCGCACGGUGGAUGCCUUGGCACUAAGAGCCGAUGAAGGACGUGACUAACGACGAUAUUCUAGGG